UAAUUGAUUUUCUGUUAAUAAUCCAACUCAUCUUUUUAGCUCCAUAAUCUGAAAAGUAUUGAGAGCACAGAUUAUUCCACAUUUGAAUAGUCCUCUGCCAAUCAGGAGACCGCGAGGGCAGACCAAAAUAAUUCCCUAACGUUCAAAAAGAUAAACAGUAGCUCAACUGGAUAAGACCCACAAACAGCGACUCGAUGUGGCGGUCAUGGGAUCGACUCCUGACCACGGCUAUUUGCUGCAGAUCUUUCCCCAUUCUUCUCCCCCCUUUCCUGUCUCUCUCCACUGCCCUCACAAAU